rnacentral:lncRNA from 1 species
ACACCUCAAGCAUGCCUCAUUGGAUUGGCCAUCCUGGUUUAGUUCCACGUGGGCGUGGGCCGGCCCAGCAUGCUAAGGAAAAAGCUCCAGCCAUAUGCAUUCUAGUUCACCUUCUGUUUGUAUCAUUCAAUUCCCAAUUGAUGUAAAAUUUCCUAGUUAUAUUGCGAUAACCUCCAAACUAUUUGAUUUUGUUGGAAGCAAUGAUCCCCUGGUAAAAUUGCAUAGAGUUACUCUUUUGUGGCACCUUUG